rnacentral:rRNA from 1 species
UGGGGAAUAUUGGACAAUGGGCGCAAGCCUGAUCCAGCCAUGCCGCGUGAGUGAUGAAGGCCUUAGGGUUGUAAAGCUCUUUUAGCAGGGAAGAUAAUGACGGUACCUGCAGAAAAAGCCCCGGCUAACUUCGUGCCAGCAGCCGCGGUAAUACGAAGGGGGCUAGCGUUGCUCGGAAUUACUGGGCGUAAAGCGCACGUAGGCGGACUCUUAAGUCGGUGGUGAAAUCCUGGAGCUCAACUCCAGAACUGCCUUCGAUACUGGGAGUCUUGAGUUCGGGAGAGGUGAGUGGAACUGCGAGUGUAGAGGUGAAAUUCGUAGAUAUUCGCAAGAACACCAGUGGCGAAGGCGGCUCACUGGCCCGAUACUGACGCUGAGGUGCGAAAGCGUGGGGAGCAAACAGG